UCUCGCCUUACGACGGCAGUCUCGCUAGAGUCCUCAGCACUACCUGCUAGUAACUAACGAUAAGGGUUGCGCUCGUUAUGGCACUUAAGCCGACACCUCACGGCACGAGCUGACGACAACCAUGCAGCACCUACAUAUAAGUCUCCGAAGAGAAAAAGAAUGUUUCCAUCCCCUGUCCUAUACAUUUCAAUCCCAGGUAAGGUUCCUCGCGUAUCAUCGAAUUAAACCACAUGUUCCUCCGCUUGUGCGGGCCCCCGUCAAUUCCUUUGAGUUUCAUCGUUGCCGACGUACUCCCCAGGUGGAUUACUUAAUGCUUUCGCUUGAGAGCAUACAUUAUAUCGCAUACUCUGAGUAAUCAUAGUUUACGGCGUGGACUAC
rnacentral:misc_RNA from 1 species